GUAAUUAACCAGAUAAAUGCUUGGUGUCUGUCUCACUCUGGCCAUCCUACAGAGUGGCACGUGAAGAGCUGCAGUGCUGUCGAUAACUUGGCCCUCGGCCUUCACCCAGCUCUGCCAGCGUGGAGAGCUACUCUGAUUGACUGAUUUCCUAGAGAAAAGCAUCAAGCCAGGACUUCUGCAAAAGACAGGCACAGAUCCUCCCCUCCCUUUAGGGGUAGGGGCUGGAUUAGAGUCGGGAAGAAUGGGAACAGCAGAAAUCGUCCUUACAGGAGAAGGAGGAAACUAACAGUCUUGCAUCUCAGACCUGUGGAGUGGGAAGUCACGCAGGCAGCCCAAAGGCACCACAGCCAGAAGAGAAACAGGAGGAGGAUGUGGAAAUAAUUGGAAAUCCCUGGGUUCCAGAAAGUCAGCGGAGAACAUGCCAGCACCCUUAAGCUAAGGAGGGACCUGGGAGAGGGCGCAGUUUGCAUGUUUGGAAGGAGAGAGGGAAGUGCGUGCUAAGGCGGCAGUGUGAGGGUCUGUGAACUGCAGGAGAGGCAUUCGAGGUUCAGAGAAUGUGAAUCCCACAGUGUGACAUGAAGGAAACACUGAUUUGCACAGUGUUGUGGAUCUUCCUAAGAAGCUGCAUGAUUAAGAUCAGAGUCAAGAACACAACUGUGCAGAUCUCAACCACUGGGACCAUUGCUGUGCACUGAGAUAACCAAAAAAGAGCUUGAAGAGAUUUUUGACUGAAAUCAGUGAUUUAAAAGAAAAGAGUGGAUGCCCUUAAACACUUUUUCCCUGAAGGACUCUAAAUGUUGUGGUGAUUGCUGUAUAACCUGACUGGCACUGU
rnacentral:lncRNA from 1 species